AUAGUCCCAACUGGCGCAGGCGCAGUGCGGGCUGCUCCGGGAGGCCACAUGACCAGAUGCAGGGAGUUGCUCUCCACCCCCUGGUCCUGGCGCCCCUGGGUUAGGGGCAGGGGUGGCUCUCCCCGUCGCGCCUCUUGUCCCCUUCUCUGGGGAUGCAUUACUACUGGAAGAAACCCUUUUAAGAAGGGAAACACUGUGAAGACUACCCAGAUAAGGGCAGCAGAGACCCAGACCUCCAGAUCAGAUUGGUACAGCAGUGGGCAUCAGUGCCAUCUUCUGACGAACAUGCCAUACUGCACCUGGCAGGGGUUUCCUAUAGCCAACCACAGUGGAAAAGCCCUAUUACAUCACCCAGCCCAGCCUUCUGCUCCUAUGGGAAUACUCCUGUCUCACCACGCUCAAACCUCCCAAGUUAAAUUUUAAAAAUAUUUAUGAAAUGGAACUUCAGUCUGUUCCCCAGGGAAACUCUUACACAAGCUGGACAGAUCACACUGCAGCAAGCCCCAGCCUUCAGCAUUUGGUCCCACGCAAAAACAGGCGUGCCAUUCUCUAUCAUCAUAGAAUAUAGUUUAUUUGUGGCAUUUUACAAAUAACUUUACAGUUCACAUGGACAUAAGUUAUGCUCUUGAUUUCAACAAGUAUUUCUUACAACACCUGAGUUAUUAAAAUACUGAGAUGGAACUUGAACUUCUAAUCAGACAUGUAAAGGGAAAUAUGGAGAAACCCCACACAAACUCAGAUGGCAGUUUCCUCUCUCAUCACCGCCCCCCCCCCC